rnacentral:rRNA from 1 species
UACGGGGGGGGCAAGCGUUGUUCGGAAUUACUGGGCGUAAAGGGCUCGUAGGCGGCCAACUAAGUCAGACGUGAAAUCCCUCGGCUUAACCGGGGAACUGCGUCUGACACUGGAUGGCUUGAGUUUGGGAGAGGGAUGCGGAAUUCCAGGUGUAGCGGUGAAAUGCGUAGAUAUCUGGAGGAACACCGGUGGCGAAGGCGGCAUCCUGGACCAACACUGACGCUGAGUGAGCGAAAGCCAGGGGAGCAAACGGG